rnacentral:tRNA from 1 species
GGGGCGGUGGUGAAUUAAUCAUAGGUGGUUGUCGUCCGUCAGUUGCAUAGAUGGUUUAUGCCCGCUCUU